GACUACACGGGUAUCUAAUCCUGUUUGCUCCCCACGCUUUCGUGCCUCAGCGUCAAUGAAGGCCCAGCAAGCUGCCUUCGCAAUCGGUGUUCUAUGGCAUAUCUAAGCAUUUCACCGCUACAUGCCACAUUCCGCCUACCUCAACCUCAUUCAAGUUAAACAGUAUCAAUCGCAGUUCGCCCGGUUAAGCCGGGGAAUUUCACAACUGACUUAUCUAACAGCCUACGCACCCUUUAAACCCAGUGAUUCCGGAUAACGCUUGCACCCUCCGUAUUACCGCGGCUGCUGGCACGGAGUUAGCCGGUGCUUAUUCUGAUGGUACCCUCAAGUCCCGAUAAAUCGAGAUUAUUGUCCCCAUCCAAAAGAAGUUUACAACGCUGAGCGCCUUCAUCCUUCACGCGGCAUGGCUGGAUCAGGCUUCCGCCCAUUGUCCAAUAUUCCUUACUGCAGCCCCCCGUAGG
rnacentral:rRNA from 1 species